rnacentral:rRNA from 1 species
GAUGAACGCUGGCGGCGUGCCUAAUACAUGCAAGUCGAGCGAACGGACGAGAAGCUUGCUUCUCUGAAGUUAGCGGCGGACGGGUGAGUAACACGUGGAUAACCUACCUAUAAGACUGGGAUAACUUCGGGAAACCGGAGCUAAUACCGGAUAAUAUUUUGAACCGCAUGGUUCAAAAGUGAAAGACGGUCUUGCUGUCACUUAUAGAUGGAUCCGCGCUGCAUUAGCUAGUUGGUAAGGUAACGGCUUACCAAGGCAACGAUGCAUAGCCGACCUGAGAGGGUGAUCGGCCACACUGGAACUGAGACACGGUCCAGACUCCUACGGGAGGCAGCAGUAGGGAAUCUUCCGCAAUGGGCGAAAGCCUGACGGAGCAACGCCGCGUGAGUGAUGAAGGUCUUCGGAUCGUAAAACUCUGUUAUUAGGGAAGAACAUAUGUGUAAGUAACUGUGCACAUCUUGACGGUACCUAACCAGAAAGCCACGGCUAACUACGUG